UUGGGUAUUGUAGGUGGCACUUUGGGAACCAGAGGUGCUAGGCUGUGUAUUGUAGGUGGCAUUUUGGGUACUGUAGUUGUUAGGUUGGAUAUCAUAAGUGUUACGUUGGAUCCCGUAGGAGGCACUUUGGGAACCACAGGUGUUAGGUUAGGUAGCAUGGGUGGCACUUUUGACUCAGGGUUAGCACAGCUUUAUUAGACUGGUGGGUUGUGAAUAGAGACAGG